rnacentral:rRNA from 1 species
CUCGUAGCUUGCUAUGAGAACAAUUAGUGGCAGACGGGUGAGUAAUGCAUAGGAAUCUACCUAGUAGUAUAGGAUAGCCACUAGAAAUGGUGGGUAAUACUGUAUAAUCCCUGCGGGGGAAAGAUUUAUCGCUACAUGAUGAGCCUAUGUUAGAUUAGCUAGUUGGUGGGUAAUGGCCUACCAAGGCAGUGAUCUAUAGCUGGUCUGAGAGGAUGAUCAGCCACACUGGAACUGAGACACGGUCCAGACUCCUACGGGAGGCAGCAGUGGGGAAUAUUGGACAAUGGGCGCAAGCCUGAUCCAGCUAUGCCGCGUGAGUGAGGAAGGCCUUAGGGUUGUAAAACUCUUUCAGUGGGGAAGAUAAUGACGGUACCCACAGAAGAAGUCCCGGCAAACUCCGUGCCAGCAGCCGCGGUAAUACGGAGGGGUCAAGCGUUGUUCGGAAUUAUUGGGCGUAAAGGGCAUGUAGGUGGUUUGGUAAGUUAAAGGUGAAAUGCCAGGGCUUAACCCUGGAGCUGCUUUUAAUACUGCCAGACUGGAGUCCGGGAGA